AUGUUCACUGUUAUACUGAUGUGUCUGUGGCUUUCACUAGGUGACUCCAUGGCAGAUCCAGUAGAGCCACUUGUACCUCAAAAGUUGUAGAUGAAGGUGAAGAUGUGACUCUGUCCUGCAGCUACAAAGACUUCAGUGGUUCUGUAAACAGACUGUACUGGUACAGACAAUAUCCAAAAUCUAACCCUAAAUUUCUCCUUUAUAUUUAUCCAAGUGGAAGCCUUAGUUCCAACGUCCCACCACGUUUGAAUGCUAAAGUGGAUAGUAAUAAAAAACAAGUGGAUCUGAUCAUCUCCUCUGCUGCUGUAUCAGACUCUGCUCUAUACCACUGUGCUGUGGAGCCCACAAUAACAGGAACUCCAGCUGCACUGUACAAAAACCUUCACAGAGUUUUAUUCCACUGA